UGGUGCCUGGUCUUGGGAUAUAUCUCAGCGUCUGGAGUCCUUCCUUUCUGAUGGCUCUUUCGGUAGAUCCCACUGUCCAGCUUUUCAAGAAGGGCUCUAACUGGAUUGGCUGGCCACAUCCAGCAGAGGCCCCAGCACAGUGUGCAGAGAGCUUGUACUAGGCCGCAUCAGGGACAGUGCUCCAUAUAUGGCGAGCCCCUCAGACAGGGACUAUGGGCGGAAUCACGACCUUAUGCUAAGUCUAAUCUCCUGGAAGGAUGAGAAAAACUUGUGGAGGAGAGAUUUGUCAUGGCUGAGGUCAGUUGAGACAUGCUUGCCCCAAGCCAGUCACCACUGGAAACAUCCCAGCUGACCUAGAAAACAUGCAAGUGAGCCCAACCAAGAUCAGGAGAAAUUCCCAACUUAAAUCACAAACCCACAAAUCUGUGAGCUAAAUAAAUGAUUGUUGUUUCAAGCCA